AUUGAACGCUGGCGGCAUGCCUUACACAUGCAAGUCGAACGGUAACAGGUCUUCGGAUGCUGACGAGUGGCGAACGGGUGAGUAAUACAUCGGAACGUGCCCGAUCGUGGGGGAUAACGAAGCGAAAGCUUUGCUAAUACCGCAUACGAUCUACGGAUGAAAGCGGGGGAUCUUCGGACCUCGCGCGGACGGAGCGGCCGAUGGCUGAUUAGGUAGUUGGUGGGAUAAAAGCUUACCAAGCCGACGAUCUGUAGCUGGUCUGAGAGGAUGAUCAGCCACACUGGGACUGAGACACGGCCCAGACUCCUACGGGAGGCAGCAGUGGGGAAUUUUGGACAAUGGGCGCAAGCCUGAUCCAGCCAUGCCGCGUGCAGGAUGAAGGCCUUCGGGUUGUAAACUGCUUUUGUACGGAACGAAAAGGUGCCUUCUAAUAAAGGGCGCUCAUGACGGUACCGUAAGAAUAAGCACCGGCUAACUACGUG
rnacentral:rRNA from 1 species